ACGCUCGACACCUACGGGAGGCAGCAGUCGGGAAUAUUGCGCAAUGGAGGAAACUCUGACGCAGUGACGCCGCGUGCAGGAAGAAGGUUUUCGGAUUGUAAACUGCUUUAGACAGGGAAGAAAGAAAUGACAGUACCUGUAGAAUAAGCUCCGGCUAACUACGUACCAGCAGCCGCGGUAAUCUGAGCGGGCUGGCAAGGC
rnacentral:rRNA from 1 species